rnacentral:rRNA from 1 species
AUUCUGGCUCAUAACGGUGAAGUCUAAAAUAAACACAAGUGUUUAUCAUGAUAAUGCCGUGGGAAGUCUAAACAACCUUAUUUAAACAAACACACUAACAUGCUUAACUUAUUCUUAUAUUAUAUUAGAAUAUAAGUGUUGUAUUGUAAGAGUUCUGAUGUUUAAAUAUAGAUUGUUUAUGACCCCGUAACGACUGACCUGCUCUUUAGUAGUUCUAAAGAAGCUUCCUGUUUAUGAGGAAGGGGGGAAGAGAGGAUUUCCUCUAAUACGCCAGCCCUUUUAAAUAUGUUAAGUAGAAAAAAACUCGAAAAACUUAUAAACAAACAAAUAUGACCUUAUCACAACAAUCCAAAGGUUUUACAAUGGCUCGUUUAAUUGGUUUAAUUCAAGAGGUUCAUUUUACUGGACGUACACCUAAAAAGAAAGAAAGUAAGAGACGUCUGCCGUAUUAAUGAAUAUUUAGCGAUUGUCAAUGGUUAUUUUGAACAACAACUCUCUAACAUAUUCGCUUAACGGCUAAUAAAAGGUGAAAGCAUAGUCUAAUCUUUAAUGAAAAUUAAAGCAAUCGAAAAAAUGCUCUUAUUCGAAAUAACUCAUUUAUAGAUUUAUGGGAUUCUGUGGUUUAAUUUGAUGCUACGCGAAGAACCUUACCAGGGUUUGACAUGUCUAGAAUUUUCCAGAAAUGGGAAAGUGCCACCUAAAAAUGGAACUAGAACACAGGUGGUGCAUGGCUGUCGUCAGCUCGUGCGUUGACGUGUACGGUUAAGUCCUGCAACGAGCGCAACCCUCGUCUUUAGUUACCAGAAGGUUCUUUAAAGAGACUGCACGCGCAAGCGUUGAGGAAGGUGAGGAUGACGUCAAGUCAGCAUGCCCCAUACACCCUGGGCGACACACGUAAUACAAUGGUUGGGACAAUCAGUAGCUAACUCGCGAGAGCUUGCCAAUCUGUUAAACUCAACCUCAGUUCGGAUUGUAGGCUGCAACUCGCCUACAUGAAGCCGGAAUCGCUAGUAAUCGCCAGUCAGCCAAAUGGCGGUGAAUACGUUCUCUAGUCUUGUACACACCGCCCGUCACACCGCGAAAGUAGAUUGUAGUUGAAGUCAUUAGUUCUAAAGACGGUGCCCACACUCCAAUUUAUAAUCAUGGUGAAGUCGUAACAAGGUAAGGCUACUGGAAGGUGGCCUUG